GGAAUAUUGGACAAUGGGCGAAAGCCUGAUCCAGCAAUGCCGCGUGUGUGAAGAAGGCCUGCGGGUUGUAAAGCACUUUUGCGGGGGAAGCGGGGCCGGGGCGCUAAUACCGCCUUGGUUUGACGGUACCCUGCGAAUAAGCCCCGGCCAACUCCGUGCCAGCAGCCGCGGUAAUACGGAGGGGGCGAGCGUUAAUCGGAAUUACUGGGCGUAAAGCGCGCGUAGGCGGCCGACCAAGUCCGAUGUGAAAGCCCCGGGCUCAACCCGGGAACGGCGUUGGAGACUGGUCGGCUGGAGUGCGACAGAGGGUGGUGGAAUUCCCGGUGUAGCGGUGAAAUGCGUAGAGAUCGGGAGGAACAUCGAUGGCGAAGGCAACCGCCUGGGUCGACACUGACGCUGAGGUGCGAAAGCGUGGGGAGCAAAC
rnacentral:rRNA from 1 species